rnacentral:rRNA from 1 species
UGGGGAAUUUUGCGCAAUGGGGGAAACCCUGACGCAGCAACGCCGCGUGGAGGAUGAAAUCCCUUGGGAUGUAAACUCCUUUCGAUCGGGACGAUUAUGACGGUACCGGAAGAAGAAGCCCCGGCUAACUUCGUGCCAGCAGCCGCGGUAAUACGAGGGGGGCAAGCGUUGUUCGGAAUUAUUGGGCGUAAAGGGAGUGUAGGCGGUUUGGUAAGUCGUGUGUGAAAUCUUCGGGCUCAACCCGAAGUCUGCACACGAAACUGCCGGGCUUGAGUAUGGGAGAGGUGAGUGGAAUUCCUGGUGUAGCGGUGAAAUGCGUAGAUAUCAGGAGGAACACCUGUGGCGAAAGCGGCUCACUGGACCAUUACUGACGCUGAGACUCGAAAGCUAGGGGAGCAAACAG